rnacentral:rRNA from 1 species
CCUACGGGAGGCAGCAGUGGGGAAUAUUGCACAAUGGGGGAAACCCUGAUGCAGCGACGCCGCGUGAGUGAAGAAGUAUUUCGGUACGUAAAGCUCUAUCAGCAGGGAAGAAAAUGACGGUACCUGACUAAUCAGCCCCGGCUACCUACGUGCCAGCAGCCGCAGUCAUACGUAGGGGGCAAGCGUUAUCCGGAUUUACUGGGUGGAAAGGUAGCGUAGACGGUAGCGCAAGUCUGAAGUGAAAUCCCAGGGCUUAACCAUGGAACUGCAUUGGAAAAUGUGAAGCUGGAGUGCAGGAGAGGGAAGCGGAAUUCCUGGGGUAGCGGUGAAAUGCGUAGAUAUAAGGAGGAACACCAGUGGCGAAGGCGGCUUACUGGACUGUAACUGACGUUGAGGCUCGAAAGCGUGGGGAGCAAACAGGAUUAGAUACCCUGGUAGUC